CGAAGCCAUGGGCGGCAACUCGCACGACGGCGCCAAGAUCGUCGCCAAGAUGAAGGAAACGAAAACGGAUGAUCCGUUGUUCGGUAAGGGUGAAAUUCAGCCGAACGGACGCAAGAUCCAUCCGGCUUAUCUCUUCGAAGUGAAGAAGCCUUCCGAGUCCAAGGGACCGUGGGACUAUUACAAGCUGGUUGGCACCACGCCUGCCGAGCAGGCCUUNCUGUCGGAAAGCGUUUGUCCGCUGGUGAAGAAGUAACAACCAAUCGCCCGGCGGCUUG
rnacentral:misc_RNA from 1 species